rnacentral:rRNA from 1 species
GUCAAGUCCUCAUGGCCCUUAUGCCUAGGGCUGCACACGUCCUACAAUGCAACACACAAAGGGAUGCAACCUCGUGAGAGUGAGCAAAUCCCAAAAAAUGUUGCCCAGUUCGGAUUGGAGUCUGCAAUUCGACUCCAUGAAGUCGGAAUCGCUAGUAAUCGCGCAUCAGAAUGGCCGCGGUCGAAUACGUUCCGGGCCUU